ensembl:lincRNA Gm12801 predicted gene 12801
AGCAUUCUAGAAUGCAAGGGAGCAGGGAUGGAAGUGAAGAUCUUGACUUGGUUCACAGUCAUCUAAUCAGCCAACCAUGGACUAAAACUUCCGAGACCAUCAACCAAAACAAACACUUCUUAAGGGAAGAAAGGCUUCAUAGGAAACCAGCUCUGCCAAGACUGUGUUUAUCCAGAAGAGUAAGAAAAUAAAUUUCUGUUACUUAAGCUGCCCAGGUUUAAACAAUACAACAAAGGCUUAAAUAAACCCAAACCAACAAAACC